UACGAAGGGAGCUAGCGUUGUUCGGAAUCACUGGGCGUAAAGCGCACGUAGGCGGACUUGUCAGUCAGGGGUGAAAUCCCGGGGGCUCAACCUCGGAACUGCCUCUGAUACAGCAAGUCUUGAGUCCGGAAGAGGUGGGUGGAAUUCCUAGUGUAGAGGUGAAAUUCGUAGAUAUUAGGAAGAACACCGGUGGCGAAGGCGGCCCACUGGUCCGGUACUGACGCUGAGGCGCGAAGGCGUGGGGAGCGAACGGG
rnacentral:rRNA from 1 species